rnacentral:SRP_RNA from 1 species
GCUGGGGCUGGUGGUGCCUGCUUGUAAUCCCCACUACUGGGGAGUCACUUGAACUCAGGACUUCUGAGAAACAGUGGACUAAGUUGAUUGGGUGUCUGCAUUAAGUUUGGUACCAGUAUGCUGAUUCACUGGAAGUAGGGGCCCCCCAGGAUACCUAAGGAGGGGCAAACUGGCCCAGGAUGGAAAUGGGACAUGUGAAGGGUCCUCUUCUUAUCAGUAGUGUGAUUGGGACCAUGAGUAGCCCUUAUACUUUCAGCCUGUGUAAAAUAU